GAUUUUGUUGUCUAUGUAUUACCUGAACUCCAAGGGAACCAACUUACAUGGCGUAAUGGAUGGAGGUGUUAUUGGGGCUUAUUUUUUCAUGAUUGGAAACAAGAUGUUGCUGGUGUUGGAGCUCACAGAGAAUGGUAUUAUGAUAGUCUACUUACUUCUGAAGGUGCAUUAGAAGAUAAGUGGAUGUCCAGAUUCUUUGGCCUCAGAAAAGUGGUGAUAAAAAUCUUGAAGUAUUGUUAGCAUUUUCCUCUAAAAAUGGAAAGAGCAGAUACAAAGAAGAAGAGAACACAUUUGGGUACACCUACCAGGACAGUUUGUUCUACGUUUAUCUUGCUUUGGGGUUGCAGACCCUAACAUAUCAAGAUAGCUCUUGAUGGUAUAACAUGACAUUGGCAGGAAUUAUCGAUGACUACUUUGAUGGGUAGUUUUCUGAAGAAAUGAUUGUCCCAGCGUGGAGCUAGCCGUCGCCGCUAUGGUACAUGUACCCGUUGCCUCCGCUUGACGUAGUUCGCUAUGGAGAUAUACAUGGGAAAGUCGCGACGGAGAUGCCCCACUUCAACCCGCGGAUCCGGGGUGAUUGUGGCGGUCAGCUGGUGACUGAGCUCAAAAUCCGGUUCAGCGUCAAUGGUUGUCUGCGCUCCAGUACGAGGAGUGGUGGCGCUUCAAGGAGACAGCUGCGUGCCUUCGUCAGUUGUUUUGUGUACUACUUUUCACUUUCAGAAUCAAUUCGUGAUUCCAUAGUGAGUCAUUACGAACGAAAUUAUGGGGGGUUUUGCUCUAGGCAUCAGAUCAGGAAGCAACAAGCCGUCUCUUUGGUGGUAUCUUUGGUGCUCCAGUAGUGGAUAUUGCUGGAAUAGCUAAAGGACUUAGU